rnacentral:rRNA from 1 species
GUAGGUGGCAAGCGUUGUCCGGAAUUAUUGGGCGUAAAGCGCGCGCAGGCGGUCCUUUAAGUCUGAUGUGAAAGCCCGCGGCUCAACCGUGGAGGGUCAUUGGAAACUGGGGGACUUGAGUACAGAAGAGGAAAGCGGAAUUCCAAGUGUAGCGGUGAAAUGCGUAGAGAUUUGGAGGAACACCAGUGGCGAAGGCGGCUUUCUGGUCUGUAACUGACGCUGAGGCGCGAAAGUGUGGGGAGCAAACAGGAUUAGAUACCCUGGUAGUCCACGCCGUAAACGAUGAGUGCUAAGUGUUAGGGGGUUUCCCGCCCCCCUUAGUGCUGCAGCUAACGCAUUAAGCACUCCGCCUGGGGAGUACGGCCGCAAGGCUG